CUUGUUUUAACCAGAGAUACCUGAAGGGCACACAUCUUUCUGUUGAUUCAUAGGUCUGCUCAUAGUCAGCAAGAGACCUGGAUCGUUCUGACUUCCCAGUCUUGAGAAGUGUCCUGUUAUUACCAAUGAGUCUGGGUCCUGGAAUCUGGAAAAAUGCUCUAUGCCUCCUGUGAACAGGACCCAGUGAAUGGAAUGUCGCCCUGGGAUGUGGAAAUCUCAAGUUUCCUGGACGUAGGGAAGUUUAGAAGGGAGAGUCAAAUGAAGAUUCACAGUCUUGAGAUCGCUGCUAAAGGUGACCUAGGAAAAUGCUCCUCUCGCCAAUCAUGGGGAGGGAGCUGAAGAUUAAAUCCUGGAGUCUGCCCCAUUAGAAGAGCAGCAGCCUGGUUUCUGGUGACUACAGCAGCAGCCUUCUACCUGAAGACUGACACUGAGCCCGCUAACCACACAAGCCUCCAGUCGGAGUAAUAAAGACGUGAAAUGCCAUGUUCCAUGGCCUAACAAAGUUGGAGAGGGGAAUAACAGGUAUGGAAUGAAAUGAGAAGUAAAGAGAAAUAUUAAAGAACCCACGGUGAAUAAAUAGGUCAGAGAAUAAUAGAGGAUAUGGGAAAAUUAGCCUCUUGCGAAUUCUUCAAGCGUGUGAAAUACACAUAUUCAUUUAUUGGUUUAUGUGGUAGCCAGCCUUCAAGAUGGCUCCUAAUGAUCCCUGCCUCCUGAUAUUAGCGCCCGGUGUGGUCCCCUCCCACAGCCUAUCAGAGUUGGUCUGUGUGCCCAGUAGAACACUGGAUAAGUGAUGGGAUGUUGACUCUGAUAUUAGGUUAUAAAAGAUGUCAUGGCUUUCAUUUUGGUCACUUUCUCCAUUUCUUGGAUCACUCACUCUGGGAGAUACCAGCUACCAUGCUGUGAGCAGCACUCUGGAGAAGCCCAUGUAAUGAAGAACAUGGUGGUGACAGCAUUCUACUUGUGGUGGAGUCCCAAGUCACACCUCUGCCUGGAAACCUGAACCAUCUGCUCAACUCUUUGCUCCCUGUUAGACUGUAAAUAGACAUCAGUUAUCUAUUGCUGCAGAACAAACCACCCCCCAAAUAAGAGUGAUACCCUCAUGUUUGGGGCCACAAAUAGGAAUUGAUGGAACAGCUGGGGUUGCUAGAACUCUCCAUAUGGCCUUUCAUUGUGGGCUUUAUCACAGUAUGGAAUUCUCCCAGUACCAGUCAGACAAAAAUAGAAGCUGUAAAGCCUCUUGAGGCCUGGGCUCGAAAGUUACACAACAUCACUUCUUCCACAUUCUGUUGGACAAAGCAAAUAAAAAGGCCAGCCCAAAUUCAAAGGGUGGGAGAAAUAAACUGCUUCUUAACAAGACGA